rnacentral:rRNA from 1 species
AGAAUCAACGCUGGCGGCGUGCCUAACACAUGCAAGUCGAACGAGAAAGUGGAGCAAUCCAUGAGUAAAGUGGCGCACGGGUGAGUAACACGUGACUAACCUACCUUUUAGUGGGGGAUAACCUAGGGAAACCUGGGCUAAUACCGCAUAAUACCUACGGGUCAAAGCAGCAAUGCGCUGGGAAGAGGGGGUCGCGGUCGAUUAGUUAGUUGGCAGGGUAAUGGCCUACCAAGACUGUGAUCGAUA